rnacentral:rRNA from 1 species
AUAMGCUCAUAGCGUAUAUUAAGUUGUUGCAGUUAAAAGCUCGUAGUUGGAUCUCGGGUCCAGGCUGGCGGUCCGACGCCUGUCGGUUACUGCCUGCUCCUGACCUACCUCCCGGUUUUUUCGCCCUUGGUGCUCUUGACUGAGUGUCUCGGGUGGCCGGAACGUUUACUUUGAAAAAAUUARAGUGUUCAAAGCAGGCAAUAUCGCCUGAAUAAUGGUGCAUGGAAUAAUGGAAUAGGACCUCGGUUCUAUUUUGCUGGUUUUCGGAGCUCGAGGUAAUGAUUAAAAGGGACUGACGGGGGCAUUCGUAUUACGGKGUUARAGGUGAAAUUCUUGGAUCGCCGUAARACRAACUACUGCGAAAGCAUUUGCCAAGCAUGUUUUCAUUAGUCAAGAACGAAAGUCAAAGGUUCGAAGACGAUCA